rnacentral:rRNA from 1 species
CCUACGGGGAGCAGCAGUGAGGAAUAUUGGUCAAUGGACGCAAGUCUGAACCAGCCAUGCCGCGUGCAGGAAGACGGCUCUAUGAGUUGUAAACUGCUUUUGUACGAGGGUAAACGCAGAUACGCGUAUCUGUCUGAAAGUAUCGUACGAAUAAGGAUCGGCUAACUCCGUGCCAGCAGCCGCGGUAAUACGGAGGAUUCAAGCGUUAUCCGGAUUUAUUGGGUUUAAAGGGUGCGUAGGCGGUCGGAUAAGUUAGAGGUGAAAUCCCGAGGCUCAACUUCGGAAUUGCCUCUGAUACUGUUCGGCUAGAGAGCAGUUGCGGGAGGCGGAAUGUAUGGUGUAGCGGUGAAAUGCUUAGAGAUCAUACAGAACACCGAUUGCGAAGGCAGCUUACUAAGCUACUUCUGACGUUGAGGCACGAAAGCGUGGGGAGCAAACAGGAUUAGAUACCCGGUAGUC